GAUGAACGCUGGCGGCGUGCUUAACACAUGCAAGUCGAACGGAAAGGCUCCUGCUUGCAGGGGUACUCGAGUGGCGAACGGGUGAGUAACACGUGGGUGAUCUGCCCUGCACUUCGGGAUAAGCCUGGGAAACUGGGUCUAAUACCGGAUAGGACGAUGGUUUGGAUGCCAUUGUGGAAAGUUUUUUCGGUGUGGGAUGAGCUCGCGGCCUAUCAGCUUGUUGGUGGGGUAAUGGCCUACCAAGGCGUCGACGGGUAGCCGGCCUGAGAGGGUGUACGGCCACAUUGGGACUGGGAUACGGCCCAGACUCCUACGGGAGGCAGGAGUGGGGAAUAUUGCACAAUGGGCGCAAGCCUGAUGCAGCGACGCCGGGUGGGGGAUGACGGCCUUCGGGUUGUAAACUCCUUUCGCUAGGGACGAAGCGCAAGUGACGGUACCUGGAGAAGAAGCACCGGCUAACUACGU
rnacentral:rRNA from 1 species